GGAGGGCUGUAGUUUAGUGAUAGAGCAUCCGCUUUGCAGGCAGAAGAUCCUGGGUUCAAUCCCCAGGAUCUCUA